GUCCUUUGAGCAUCGAGGAACAUGUGGAACAGGUCAGAAGGGAUGCUGGAGAAUGGUUGUAACCGGUCCAGUACCUUCUCACCUGUAUCUUCAGUGGACAUAAUGCCUUGAGCCGAGAUGAUUCUGAACAGAGCUCUGAACUUCAUGUGCGUCCACUCUUCAUCUCCCUCUGUAAGACCACUGGACUUCUGCUGAGACAUUACACAGGGACUAGCUGGGCCCCUAAUCUGGCCCCGUGAGCCCUUGCCCUGGGUUGAACUUUAGCCCUGAGAGGGUCAGCCACUGGCCCGCUGGGAAACUGCCUCCACCGGCCGGCUUAAUCCUGGCCAGUCGAUAGACGCGGGGUAGCGGGACACGGAUGGAACCCUCCACACACACUUAAACAA